rnacentral:lncRNA from 1 species
AAAAAAAAAAAUGCAAUUCUUUCAAAUAGACAUUUUUAAGUUUUAGUCACAAAAAUAAACCUCAAAAACUUAAAUAACCAAAAUAGCAUUUUUUUUUUUGAAAAUUUUAAUUUUUUUUUUAAUUUUUAAAAUUUGAAAUCCUAUCCCCAAAACCCCACUCCUCAACUCUAAACCUUAAACCCUAAAUUCUAAACCUUAAACCUUAAAUUCUAAACCCUAAACCCUAAAUCCUAAACCUUAAACCCUAAACCCCAUCCCUUAACUCUAAACCC